rnacentral:rRNA from 1 species
UACGGAGGGGGCUAGCGUUGUUCGGAAUUACUGGGCGUAAAGUGUGCGCAGGCGGCAGAGCAAGUCGAGUGUGAAAGCCCCGGGCUUAACUUGGGAAUUGCGCUCGAAACUACUUUGCUGGAGUGUGGCAGAGGAAGGUGGAAUUCCACGUGUAGCGGUGAAAUGCGUAGAGAUGUGGAGGAACACCAAUGGCGAAGGCAGCCUUCUGGGCCAACACUGACGCUCAUGCACGAAAGCGUGGGGAGCGAACAGG